rnacentral:rRNA from 1 species
CGGAGGGUGCAAGCGUUAUCCGGAUUCACUGGGUUUAAAGGGUGCGUAGGUGGGUCUGUAAGUCAGUGGUGAAAUCUCCGAGCUUAACUUGGAAACUGCCAUUGAUACUAUAGAUCUUGAAUAUUGUGGAGGUCAGCGGAAUAUGUCAUGUAGCGGUGAAAUGCUUAGAGAUGACAUAGAACACCAAUUGCGAAGGCAGCUGGCUAAACAUAUAUUGACACUGAGGCACGAAAGCGUGGGGAUCAAACAGGAUUAGAUACCCUGGUAGUCCACGCCCUAAACUAUGGAUACUCGACAUACGCGAUACACUGUGUGUGUCUGAGCGAAAGCAUUAAGUAUCCCACCUGGGAAGUACGAUCGCAAGAUUG